rnacentral:rRNA from 1 species
CUGGCGGCGUGCCUAAUACAUGCAAGUCGAGCGAAUGAAUGGGAGCUUGCUCCCUGACAUUAGCGGCGGACGGGUGAGUAACACGUGGGCAACCUGCCCUGCAGAUGGGGAUAACUCCGGGAAACCGGGGCUAAUACCGAAUAAUCAAUUCCUCCGCAUGGAGGAAUUCUGGAAAGACGGCUUCGGCUGUCACUGCAGGAUGGGCCCGCGGCGCAUUAGCUAGUUGGUGGGGUAACGGCCUGCCAAGGCGACGAUGCGUAGCCGACCUGAGAGGGCGAUCGGCCACACUGGGACUGAGACACGGCCCAGACUCCUACGGGAGGCAGCAGUAGGGAAUCUUCCACAAUGGACGAAAGUCUGAUGGAGCAACGCCGCGUGAAGCGAAGAAGGUUUUCGGAUCGUAAAGCUCUGUUGUGAGGGAAGAACAAGUACGGGAGUAACUGUCCGUACCUUGACGGUACCUCAUUAGAAAGCCACGGCUAACUACGUGCCAGCCGCAGC